CACUCCAGCCUUGGCGACAGAGCAAGACUGUCUGAAAAUAAAUAAAUAAAUAAAUAACCCAGACUCAGGUGUCUUUUUAGCAGUGUGAGAACUAAUACACACAUCCCAAACUAUACAUUAUAUUACAGAUGUGAACACACCCAUUUUGUACAAGGGAAACACAAAGUUUUCCCAGGAGUUUCUAUAUUCACUCCUGAUAACAUCUAGAAUUCUCUUAGUGUUGGGGAUUAUAACAACACAACGGGAUAGUAUCUUCAAGCAAUUCAGAGUGACUUUUGUGUUCCAGAUUUUAUUUCAUAAAUACAAGUUGUAGUAUUGAUUGAAAGUUUGCCUUUUGGUUUAUAAUCUAUAAAACAUUUUUUCUUGAAAAUAUAAAUGGGUUAUAUUGUAUACCAUUGCCUUAUUCUUGUAAAACUGAGAAGUUUCCUUUCUACAUUAUAAAUCUUGCUAUUUUUCUCCCUUUGAGUUGUGUUUGUUUUCAGUGUCUGAUGAUCCUGCAUUUAUUCUGUGCCUAUUAGGUACAGGUACUGUUCUGAGUGUUUUACCUAUAUAUUAUGUAAUCUCCACCCAACUCUAUAUAGGAUGUAGUGUUAACACAACCAUUUUACAGAGGAAGCAAUCUGCAUCUAGAUGUAAAUGAAGUUACCCAAGUUUACACGGACAGUAAUAAGUAGAAUAGCUGUCAUGUAAAUUCAAAGAGUCUAGUUCCAAACGCUGUGCUUUCACUCAUCCUUUCCAGGCUGAGUCAAAAAGAUGACAAUGAGACACCCAGGAGUCUGUAGUUCCUAGGAUCCUUUCUCUUUUUUUCUGGAUAGUAUCUGAAAGACCAUCUACUGUAAGGCCAAUUGGCUGUUUUAAAUUCUAGUUAGGUUGCUUAUCUGUGUCAGGUUCUAUCAUUACCUCAUGUACAAAGAAGAAAGGUCUCUCCUUCUAUCCACAACUAUUCUCUCUCUCUCUUUAAACCCGUCACUUAGUUCCAUCAAAAGAAACCCCUCUUGCCUGUAUCGUCAUUCUCUGUGUCUCCUAAUUAUUUUUCCAUCCUCCAUAAAUAUGCUCAGAUCUGUUCUAUCUUUAACAACAAAACAGAAAACAUAACAACAAAAAGCAAAUAAAAAUCUUCUUAAAGCCUAUCUAUUGCUCUUCGUUCCAUCCGACUUUUGGCUUUGCCCUUGGCUAACUGAGUAUCUAGAAAUAAGUAUCUACACUUGCUGUCUUCACUUUUUAACCUCUUAUUUCCUCUGUAACCCACUGGAACCUAUCCUGUGCCCCCACUUUACUACCAAAAUAGUUCUUUUCAUGUUCUCCACAGUUUCUUAGUUCCUAAUCCAGUGGUCUUUAUCUUCACUUGGCAUUGUUGAGGACCUCCUCAUUCUUGAACCUGUCUUCUCUCUUGGUCUAGGCCCUUUUCUUUCCUGUUUUUCUUUUCUCUUUCUGUUUGGCCCUUAAAUCUUGGUGUUCCCCAGGGUUCUGUUUAUAGAACUGCUGAUCACUCCCCAGUCAACACUUCCAUUCCAGAGCUCACUCCUCAACUCCAACUUGGGUAUCCAACUGCUUCUCAAAUAUCUCCUUGCAGAUGUUCCACAGACACCUAAAAUUAACUUCCUCAUUUUCUUACCAGAAAACCACUUUCUUCUCAUUGAUCCAGGUGCUAAAAUCAGUACCCAAAUCUCAACACUUCCUUCUCCAUUGCACCCAAGUUAUAUACAUUUUACCUCUUAAGACUAUUUCAAGACCACCCCUUCACCAUUCCACUGCACUUCUCUGCCUAAGGCACCCCUCCUCUCUCAUUCACUAAGUCACUACAAUGUCCUCCUAUGUCUCCUGGCCUCAGUCUUUUUUUUUUUUUUUUCCUUUGGGACAAAAGUCUCACUCUGUCGUCAGGCUGGAAUGCACUGGUGUGA
ensembl:lncRNA